GCAUAAGUCAUCGGUUCAAAUCCGAUAAAGGGCU
rnacentral:tRNA from 1 species